CCUACGGGCGGCAGCAGUGGGGAAUAUUGCACAAUGGGGGAAACCCUGAUGCAGCGACGCCGCGUGAGUGAAGAAGUAUUUCGGUAUGGAAAGCUCUAUCAGCAGGGAAGAAGAAAGACGGUACCUGACUCAGAAGCCCCGGCUAACUACGUGCCAGCAGCCGCGGUAAUACGAAGGGGGCAAGCGUUAUCCGGAUUGACUGGGUGUAAAGGGAGCGUAGACGGCUGUGCAAGUCUGAAGUGAAAGCCCAGGGCUCAACCCUGGGACUGCUUGGGAAACUGUGGGGCUAGAGUGCUGGAGAGGUAAGUGGAAUUCCUAGUGUAGCGGUGAAAUGCGUAGAUAUUAGGAGGAACACCAGUGGCGAAGGCGGCUUACUGGACAGUAACUGACGUUGAGGCUCGAAAGCGUGGGGAGCAAACAGGAUUAGAUACCCGUGUAGUC
rnacentral:rRNA from 1 species